rnacentral:rRNA from 1 species
CGGGGUGCCCAGGCGCGAAAACUUUACAAUGCGGGAAACCGUGAUAAGGGAACUCCGAGUGCCCGUAAAAUCGGGCUGUCCAUCUGUUUAAAUAACAGGUGAAGAAAGGGCCGAGCAAGACCGGUGCCAGCCGCCGCGGUAAUACCGGCGGCUCGAGUGGUGGCCACUAUUACUGGGCUUAAAGCGUUCGUAGCUGGUCUGUUAAGUCUCUGGGGAAAUCUACUGGCUUAACCAAUAGGCGUUUCAGGGAUACUGGCAGACUAGGGACCGGGAGAGGUGAGGGGUACUCCAGGGGUAGGAGUGAAAUCCUGUAAUCCUUGGGGGACCACCUGUGGCGAAGGCGCCUCACCAGAACGGCUCCGACAGUGAGGGACGAAAGCUGGGGGAGCAAACCGGAUUAGAUACCCGGGUAGUCCCAGCCGUAAACGAUGCGCGUUAGGUGUAUCGGUGACCACGAGUCACCGAGGUGCCGAAGAGAAAUCGUGAAACGUGCCGCCUGGGAAGUACGGUCGCAAGGCUGAAACUUAAAGGAAUUGGCGGGGGAGCAC